UGCCUCCGCUUCGAUGCCUGGUGGUCGCGCUUUCGUCGGCGCCAUCAGCGGUGGUCGCUAUUCCUUCCCUAUCCGGCGUCCGCGAUGCUCGCCGCCCCUGCUCCCCACGCGUCGGUCGCGUCCCUCCCCACUGGCCCGCCUCGCUCCCCUCCAACCCCAAACUCCCCAGCGGGGGCCAGCCUAGGAUGAAGAGCCAUCGCGCAGGUGGAAACCGCUCCCCCAUUCCAUCGACGGGCGCUCAACCUAGAUCCCCUUCCACCGAUCUCGUGCUCACCUUCCACGUUCGCGGCCGCCACGCUCCGGCGCCGCUCGCCCCAGUCCCGCUCGCGAUCCUUGCCUCCCCUGUCUAUUUCCCUAGACGCGCAGAGCUGGGAGCGCUGAUCCCCACCUCCAACCUCGCUCCCCCCUGUCCUCUGACUCGCCAGCUCCCCCGUCCUCCUCCAUCGCGCUGCGCGUUUGCAACUCCCAGUCCCACCUCCGGCGCGUCUGCCAGCCAGUAGUCAGUAGACUUGAUCAUGUCGUCGCGGAAGCAUCACGAGCUGCCGGAGGGAGGAGCAGGGGAAGCGGCGCCGGCCGCACGGCGGUGUGGGACACCGAGAGCUCCCUGUACGACUCGUACGAGCUGGCCGCCGUGCGCCGGCUCCUCGACAAGCGCCUCCUCGCCCUCCGCGACGCUGAAGAGACGAGGGGCAAGGGCAGGCAACUGGUGGUCGUGCCGGUCGUCAGCAGCAGGGGGGUCCACCACAGGAGGAAGGCCACGCUGAGGGCGCUCUUCAGGGCGGUGGCCACCUGUGCGGCCCCGCCGAGGCAGGCGCCGCCGCUCGCCUGUGCCUGCGCUGCUGGCAUGGUCCAUGACCACCAGGGUGGUUCCGCGGUCGAGCCGGAGGAUCUGCCGUCCCACGGUCAACUUUGAUGAUCAUCCCUGUGUUUAGUCCAUUUGUUCUUGCAUUGCAUUGGCGCAAGUUGUUUUUUUCCUUUUGUGUUUAUCUAUUGCUGUGGGGGUUUUUUUACGCUGUCCUGUUCAUGCGAUGGUUGGCCAUUGAAGAGUACUGAGCCCACCGGAUCUGUAUACGUGAAUCUGCGUGAAGCAUACGAAAGCUUUUGGCGCGACGACACCGCUGUUGCCGCAGCCCCUCAGGACGUCUUGGGUCUUGGCUGGCGGUGUCGGCGGAGCUCAGCUAACAGAAGAUGACGUAGUGCCCUGGGUCGCUUGAUAAGCAGAUGAACUUGGAGCUCCGGCGACGAGCUGCGGAAGCCCGCUAUCUUCACAACAUCUCUCCCGGCAUUCAAGAGCGAAUAAUGUCAAUAAGUGAUAAUGUCAAUAAUGUCAAUAACACACUAAACAUGCCUGCAUCUUUCAUAUGUGUAUUUGUGCUCAAAUCUUUAAUUGCUACUGCUGUUGUUUA